GGGGCCGUAGCUCAGCUGGGAGAGCGCAACACUGGCAGUGUUGAGGUCAGGGGUUCGAGCCCCCUCGGCUCCACCA
rnacentral:tRNA from 2 species